rnacentral:tRNA from 1 species
AGGGCAGUAGCUCAACAGGCAGAGCACCGGUCUCCAAAACCGGCGGUUGGGGGUUCGAGUCCCUCCUGCCCUG